rnacentral:rRNA from 1 species
UACAGAGGUCUCAAGCGUUGUUCGGAUUCAUUGGGCGUAAAGGGUGCGUAGGCGGCGCGGUAAGUCGGGUGUGAAAUCUCGGAGCUUAACUCCGAAACUGCAUUCGAUACUGCCGUGCUUGAGGACUGGAGAGGAGACUGGAAUUUACGGUGUAGCGGUGAAAUGCGUAGAUAUCGUAAGGAACACCAGUGGCGAAAGCGGCUUCCUGGUCCGACACCGACGUUCAGGCACGAAAGCGUGGGGAGCAAACAGG